rnacentral:rRNA from 1 species
ACGCUCGACACCUACGGAGGCAGCAGUGGGGAAUAUUGCACAAUGGGGGAAACCCUGAUGCAGCGACGCCGCGUGAGCGAAGAAGUAUCUCGGUAUGUAAAGCUCUAUCAGCAGGGAAGAAAAUGACGGUACCUGACUAAGAAGCACCGGCUAAAUACGUGCCAGCAGCCGCGGUAAUCUGAGCGGGCUGGCAAGGC